ACCUAUCUCGUAUAUCUUUCCCCUUCCCCUCUCCCCUUCUCCAGCCCUUCUCUUUCCCCAGACUUGAGAAGUCUCUUAUCUUCAUGGAUGGUCCAUUUCCUCUAUCAUAUCCUUAUGGACAGAUUCAGGCUGCAUAUUCACAUUGACUUACUCUGAGGAAGCUCUUAUUAUUGUCAUCCUCAUGAUUUAUUAGAUGAACCUAAUUAGAGAUGCUGCUCAGCUGAUGGCACUUGAGGAUGUACUUGUGGUCUGGUUCAUAAUGAGUUCUUGCCACCAGUCAGCCUGUAGAUGAGGAGGAAGUGGGCAGGGUCCUCUUAGCUACUGAUGAAAUAUUUCAGGGAGAUUAGGUCCACCUUAAUUAUAUAAUCAGGGAAUAUGGGAAGAGUGGAUUCCCCGUAUUUUAAUCAGAAGCAUCUUUUGAUUAGAGAAUUAGAGAGAGAGAGAGAGAGA